CCUACGGGAGGCAGCAGUGGGGAAUAUUGCACAAUGGGCGCAGGCCUGAUGCAGCCAUGCCGCGUGUGUGAAGAAGGCCUUCGGGUUGUAAAGCACUUUCAGCGGGGAGGACGGCGUUAAGGUUAAUAACCUUGGCGAUUGACGUUACCCGCAGAAGAAGCACCGGCUAACUCCGUGCCAGCAGCCGCGGUAAUACGGAGGGUGCAAGCGUUAAUCGGAAUUACUGGGCGUAAAGCGCACGCAGGCGGUCUGUCAAGUCGGAUGUGAAAUCCCCGGGCUCAACCUGGGAACUGCAUUCGAAACUGGCAGGCUAGAGUCUUGUAGAGGGGGGUAGAAUUCCAGGUGUAGCGGUGAAAUGCGUAGAGAUCUGGAGGAAUACCGGUGGCGAAGGCGGCCCCCUGGUCAAAGACUGACGCUCAGGUGCGAAAGCGUGGGGAGCAAACAGGAUUAGAUACCCGUGUAGUC
rnacentral:rRNA from 1 species